GACGAACGCUGGCGGCGUGCUUAACACAUGCAAGUCGAACGGAAAGGCCCUGCUUUUGUGGGGUGCUCGAGUGGCGAACGGGUGAGUAACACGUGAGUAACCUGCCCUUUACUUUGGGAUAACUUCAGGAAACUGGGGCUAAUACCGGAUAUGAGCUCCUGCUGCAUGGUGGGGGUUGGAAAGUUUCGGCGGUUGGGGAUGGACUCGCGGCUUAUCAGCUUGUUGGUGGGGUAGUGGCUUACCAAGGCUUUGACGGGUAGCCGGCCUGAGAGGGUGACCGGCCACAUUGGGACUGAGAUACGGCCCAGACUCCUACGGGAGGCAGCAGUGGGGAAUAUUGCACAAUGGGCGGAAGCCUGAUGCAGCAACGCCGCGUGCGGGAUGACGGCCUUCGGGUUGUAAACCGCUUUCGCCUGUGACGAAGCGUGAGUGACGGUAAUGGGUAAAGAAGCACCGGCUAACUACGUG
rnacentral:rRNA from 1 species